rnacentral:rRNA from 1 species
CAGCAGCCGCGGUAAGACGGAGGGUGCAAGCGUGAUCCGGAUUCACUGGGUUUAAAGGGUGCGUAGGAGGGCAGGAAAGUCAGUGGUGAAAUCCUAGGGCUUAACUCUAGAACUGCCGUUGAUACUACUUGUCUUGAAUAUCGUGGAGGUGAGCGGAAUAUGUCAUGUAGCGGUGAAAUGCUUAGAUAUGACAUAGAACACCAAUUGCGAAGGCAGCUCACUACACGAAUAUUGACUCUGAGGCACGAAAGCGUGGGGAUCA